rnacentral:lncRNA from 1 species
CAGAACUGGUAUAGUUGUAGAUUUUUGUUUGAGAUUCACUCAGUGGACUUAUUGCAAGCUCUCUGUUUGCUGUGAAAGCAGAGUUAAUUGGGUGGGAGAUAACUUGAAGUUUCACUAGUCAACUAGUCAAAAUUAAAAUGAUUGCAGUGACUAUUUUAUCAACAGUUUAAGUUUCAGAUUUAGAAUUAAUUCUUGCCCAAUGCGUUGUCUUCUUCCUUGAAGGU